GAUGAACGCUGGCGGCGUGCUUAACACAUGCGAGUCGAACGAAGCAUUUAGAACAGAUUACUUCGGUUUGAAGUUCUUUAUGACUGAGUGGCGGACGGGUGAGUAACGCGUGGGUAACCUGCCUUGUACUGGGGGAUAGCAGCUGGAAACGGCUGGUAAUACCGCAUAAGCGCACAAUGUUGCAUGACAUGGUGUGAAAAACUCCGGUGGUAUAAGAUGGACCCGCGUCUGAUUAGCUAGUUGGUGAGAUAACAGCCCACCAAGGCGACGAUCAGUAGCCGACCUGAGAGGGUGACCGGCCACAUUGGGACUGAGACACGGCCCAGACUCCUACGGGAGGCAGCAGUGGGGAAUAUUGCACAAUGGAGGAAACUCUGAUGCAGCGACGCCGCGUGAGUGAAGAAGUAAUUCGUUAUGUAAAGCUCUAUCAGCAGGGAAGAUAGUGACGGUACCUGACUAAGAAGCUCCGGCUAAAUACGUG
rnacentral:rRNA from 1 species